CCGCCGUUCCCUUCGGUCAGUCAGUUGUCCCCUCCCCCGCUUCCCUUUCCUUCUCGGAAGAGACGGGCAGACGACCAUGUCCAUGGAGGACGACGCCUCGAAGAUCAGCGACUGGGAGGUGCUCUCUGCCACCUCUUCCCGCGGGGGCGGCGACGACGAUGAGGUAUUAACUGUCUCCGGCGGGGGCGGUGACGUCGUCCUCCUUGACCACUUCGUCCUCACCCCCGACCCCGCAGCCUCCUGUCCCGGCGACGGCGAGGGCUCGUGGUCGGACGACCGGGGCGCCUGGCAAGGGUUAGAAUUAUUGGAUGGAUUCGAUCCGAUUCCGGAAGCAAGUUUCGAUCUUGCAGUUGGUGUUAGGAGCCAACAACUGCUGAUAAGCGACGUGGAUGACGCCCGCGAAGAAGGCUCGAUUGUUCAAGCCACCGUGGCGCGCGGUGCGACCCGUAGCGCAGAAGGAAAUCAAGAUGAUGUGGUAGAGGUCGAGAUUGAGCAGGAGAGCAGUUCCGUGAUUAGCCGCGGUGCAUUGUGCCCGGUGCUGCAGGUGGCGGCGGAUCAUGGCGUGGAAGAAACUCUGGAUUCUGAGGCAGUUACACCUACAGGUGGCUCGCUCCAAAGCCAGGUAUCAGAGAGUUCCCUUGUGCAACUGGAUGAUGGAGGAAUUGGUGCUGGUGAAAAAAGAUCAUGCCUUGAGGAUGCUGUGUCAAGUGAUGAGAUUCAUGGUGAACAAGAAGAGCAGGAGCAAGGGAGCAACGCUAAUGCUGCCAUUGGUUGCGAUGAACCAGAUGGAGAGGCCAAGGAUGAUGCUUUGCCACUGGCUCACACGCCAGGUACUGAAGAGGGAGAGAAGUAAUUUGUUGCCUGGUGGAGGCUGCCAUUCAAGCUGAUGCACUACAAUGCUUGGAAGGUGAAGCCAGUAUGGUCCUUCUCCGUCGCAGCGGCACUUCUCGGCCUGGUCGUGCUGGGGAGGAAGAUGUACAGGAUGAAGCACAAGGCAAGGGGCUUGCCCCAGAUUAAGAUUGCGUUUGAUGAUAAGAGGGCCUCCCAGUUUGCUGAUCGCGCGGCGCGUCUCAACGAAGCCUUCCUGGUAGCGAGACGUGUACCUAUGCUAAGAACAUCAUCUGGUGGUGCGACGCUUCCAUGGUCAAUGGUUCAGGACAGAUGAGUGAAGCUGCUCAGAGUCAGGGCACCGUAAGAAGGCUCCCGCAAGCAAUAUUCUGGAUGGUGAACGAGCAUCUGAAUUGGCUUUUGCCUAUACCUUCUGUUUUUAGAUGACGCGUCAAGGUGGAUGCCAAUGUUGAUGGCAGUGGUCUCUCUUUCUCUUCUUUUUUUUUUCACUUAGUUUUUUCUUUUUUAAGGAACCACUUAUUGUGCUCCUGAUUUCCUUUUUUUUAAUUUUUUUGCCCCUACUCUGUUUUUUCUAACCUCUACAUCUAGUUCUAGCGGGAGUGGGUGUCUGCAGCCUUGUAUUCAGUAUGCUCCAGCUUGAAAGCUCAUCUGAAGUGUUGUUUCAUCUCAGCUGGUUCACAGGCCCUACUGGGUGCGCAACAUUUUCUGUAUGCUGCAGCUUGAAUGCCUACAGUAUUGUGUAAUCAGAUCUGUGUUGGUCCCCUGCUGUCUGUUACUAUGCAUAGAUCAUCUGGGUGCUCUCAAGGUGUUAAGAAAGCAAGGAUUGGUGCUCGUAUGUAAGGCCGUAACAGAGUUGUGAACUGAACUUUUUGGUUUACAUUGAACAGAACUGAGCAGCCCUUGGUGG